rnacentral:rRNA from 1 species
CCUACGGGGGGCAGCAGUGAGGAAUAUUGGUCAAUGGGCGGGAGCCUGAACCAGCCAAGCCGCGUGAGGGAAGAAGGUACAGCGUAUCGUAAACCUCUUUUGUCAGGGAACAAAGGCGGGGACUAGUCCCCGGAUGAGGGUACCUGAAGAAAAAGCAUCGGCUAACUCCGUGCCAGCAGCCGCGGUAAUACGGAGGAUGCGAGCGUUAUCCGGAUUUAUUGGGUUUAAAGGGUGCGCAGGCGGCCUGUUAAGUCAGAGGUAAAAGCCCGGGGCUCAACCCCGGCGAGCCGUUGAAACUGGCGGGCUGGAGUGGGAGAGAAGUACGCGGAAUGCGCGGUGUAGCGGUGAAAUGCUUAGAGAUCGCGCAGAACCCCGAUUGCGAAGGCAGCGUACCGGCUCCACACUGACGCUGAGGCACGAAAGCGUGGGUAGCGAACAGGAUUAGAUACCCGUGUAGUC